UAGUGUUACAGCUCUUUUAGAAUUUGUCUAGCAGGUUUUCUGGUUUCUACCAGAAAGCCAUA
rnacentral:snRNA from 1 species